CACAGAAUGCUGCAUCAGCGCCCCCAGCGGUGGUUCUCUUCUUUACAGCUCAUGACCACUGUUCCCUCUAAGCUGCGCGCGUGCGCAAUUGCGCACUGCUGACACGGUCUCCGCGCACAGAAAAUCUGCGCUGCGCACAAAAAAAAAUCCAACCUAAAUUGUAAAUAAAAUAAACAAGUCACAAUUCAUUCUGUGCUAUUUUUCAAUGUGAGUCAGUGAGUGACCGGUGACUGGCUGCUGCAGCCAAUGAUGCGAUUCACAUACGUAUUUAUGCAGCUAAUCGACGUCAGGCGUCCUUAUGUGCAGCCACCGUUGUUGUCAUAGAUAUGAAUGAGUAGAUAGGACACGCCCCUUUGAGCUGCGUGCUACAGCGAGGCUAAGCUAGUGGGGGAAAAGUUUCAGUGCAUUCCGUCGAUGUAGACGGCGUGAAAACGGAAACAACAAGUAUGCCGUCUCACUGUGCUGCAUACAAUUACACACUACGUCGUACGAUUGAGACAAGGAAACUUGGAAUGACUUUUCAUAGGUUUCCCAGAGACUAUGGGUUGAGGAGGAAUUGGAAGUUUGUCGGCUUAGACCUGGUGUCAUUCCAUCAGUGUUAAACUGCCUGGCUCAUCUUGGAAGAGUACGUGCCAGAAAGACCACGACCAAGCAGCCUUGAGAUCUUAUGCAGCGUCUCCCUCAGGUCCCUCUCUAUCUCCCCACACAUCCACCAACCACUGGAACACAUCUCCAAAGUUCUGUCAGGCCAGCUCAGCUUCCCCUCAGAAGAAGUGGCGCCACCUGCCAGAUGAAGGAGCCUUUUGAGAGGCAGCUGGCAUCGUGAUUGGACUGUACUUUGGUCUGUUCCAAUCCAGCUUCAGCUCCAGAGACGGCAGGCGGGACGAGUCAACGGAGGCCGGAUGGACGAAGGCAUGCAGCUGAGUACAAUCCAGAAAACAACAGAGGAGGAGUGCAGCGGCCCAGAGCCAGAACAACCAGAGUAGCAUCGUAUGUGUCUUAGAAAACAUCAUAGUAGAGCCUUUGGUAUGAAAAAACACCAUCAUAUACAUCGUAUAUUGUACAAAUAACAAGUCUAAGGAAAGAGACAUACAUUGUAGAAUUGUAGUAAUUGUGGGCUGACUGAUUAACUGAUUAUCAGUAGUUUAUCCAUCCAUCCAUUUUCUAUACACCGCUUAAUCCUCACUAGGGUCGCGGGGGGGGCUGGAGUCUAUCCCAGCUGACUCAGGUGAAGGCAGGGGACACCCUAGACAGGUCGCCAGUCUGUCGCAGGGCUACAUAUAUAGACAAACAAGCACUCUCACAUUCACACCGACGGGCAAUUUAGAAUAAUCAAUUAACCUCAGCAUAUUUUUGGACUGUGGGAGGAAGCCGGAGUACCCGGAGAAAACCCACGCAUGCACAGGGAGAACAUGCAAACUCCAUGCAGAAAGAUCCCGGGAAAGCCGGGACGCGAACCAGGGACCUUCUUGCUGCAAGGCGAAAGUGCUAACCACUACGCCACUGUGCAGCCGCAUCAGUAGUUUAUUUUUUACUAAUUUACGGUAAUAAAUAAAUUUAAAAAUGGCUCUGAACAUUUAUCUACCUGUGGUCGCUCUGUCUUCUGGACUGAUUUGAUUGGUUAUACGUCACGAAUAAAACUCCUUUAACUUAACAUCUGUCAACAAAACAAAAACGUAUCAACAAAGUUUUCUGUUAGAGUUUGUGUUCUUCUAAGUUUAACUCCAAGAUUUUAAAUACUUUCAUUUACUGCAAAUGAAUAUCUACUCCAAAUGUCUCACUAAUAAUCAUUAUCAGCCUUAAAAACCCACAAAACACCCCUCUAUACUCGACCACACUUAGUACAGUCCGGUUCCCCCUUCUAUAAAUCUACUUGGAAUCUUCCACUUCCUGUUUGUCAAAGUGGCCUUCUACCUGGACAGGUUUUGUUGGAGCUCAUGCAACAAACAUUUUGGGUAACUGCACUUUAAUAUGGAUGGAUGACACUGAAUUAGAGUCUGUUUUAAUGAGACUGAGUUAAGAUGUGUAGCUCUGUCAUUAAAUAGUAAAUUAUUUCUCAGAAUUCACAGAGAAAAGUCUGAAAUGUUUGCUAGGUUAGCGUCCCACAUGUUCUUUGGCUCAGCUAAAGCUAACUCUCUCCAACUUGUGGAUCUCUUGAGUUGCUUGUUGUUAAAAUAUCUUGCUAGAGGUGCUGAAGCUCAGAAAGUCUGAGAUGUUUGUUCAAAAUAAGCUCAUUCUCAAGUCUUAUCUGAACUGUCCUCUUUUGUUUGAGCUUUCCCUAAACUUAGGAGUUAAUGACAGAGCAGCACAUCCAGACUCAGUCUCAUUUAUGUAGAGAUUAAACUUCAGUGUCAUUCAUUGAUGUUAAAGUGCAUUUUUUCAAAUGUUUGUUGCACAUGCUCCCGACCAAACCAGUCCAGGUGGAAGACGAUGUGAAGAGAAAGCUCCAGAGGAUGAAUAUCACACAUUUAUGUUGGAAAUAAAUGUCCUUUAAUUAGACAUUGUCAUGCAAAAGUUGGAUUUCCCUUUAAUGAUGUUCAAAUCUUUGUUGAGUGUUUUGUUGAUGUUGGUUUCUAAAUGUUUUCUGACACUCGGCCCCAAAGAUUAAAACCUUUUAUGGCUCACAAGCUGCAACAAUUCACACAUUAUCAACUAUCUUUCUGAUUAAACUAAGAUAAAAAGUGAAAAACUGCCUGAUUCCUGCAUCAUGAAUGUAAAUCUUUUUGGUUUUUAUGACAGUAAACUGAAUAUAUUUGGGUUUGACAUUUUAUAAACCAAAACAAGAAAUGAAUUAGUGGAGAAAACAAUCAACAGAUUGAUGGGAAAAGAAAAUGUGUUUUCCAACAUGUAUGGCUGAAUUACUCCAACAUUACAAGAUACAUACAAUUUUAAUUCAAUUUUAUUUAUAUAAUGCCAAUUACAGGUCAAAUUGUCUCAAGACGCUUUAUUUUUAUAUUUUUUGUCAUAUUUAAAAUGUGAUAAAGUAAGAAAUUUAAACCUCUUUACUGAUCCAAUUUAUUACUUGGUUUUUAAGAGACUAAUUGACAACUAAAAUAACGUUCUCCACUAAAACUAAUAAACAUGAGGUCAAAUAGAAGGAAGAGUUUUAAAUACUGCAGUCCCACGAUGACAAGAAUAAAGUUUGUCAACAAAAACUAAAUCUGUUGGUGGAUUCCAUUAAAGUCCUAAUAAAUGAUAAUAAAGUGUGACACUAAAGGUUUGUGGUGCUAAAAAUCUCCAAAUAAAGAUAUCAAGUUGAACAUCUGGAUGGAGGUUGAUAAAAGUUGACCUCCUUUCAUUUCCCGGAAGCGACUCCAUGGAUUUUAUGGAUGGUGGUUAAAGACCUGAUCUUCUAGUCGUCUUUCUUCUAGUCGCUGUAAAAAGUCAGUCCAUCCUGGCCGACUUCAACACCUCUUCAUGACAACUUGUUCUGCCUCGGACCUGGUGGAAACUCCAGAAACUGGGGAAAACCCAUGGAGACUUGAAGAACUCGUAGAGACUCGAAGAACUCGUCGGGC